UGGUGGGAUGGUGUUCCACCCUCCCAACUACACACACCAGGUGUAGCGACUGAUUGGUGGGCGGGGCAGAUAGCUUUAAAGCUGAGCAGUCCGCUGCGAGGUGCGUGUGCCUUGUUUCCUUACUGUAUGUUGGCUGCCCAAGUGGCUGGUGUGCUCGAUCCACUCAUCCAAAAUACGUUGCGCAGCUGGCGUUGGCGGCUGCAGUUGGAGGUUGGUGCGGCGAGCGGCUUCCAUCCAGCCCUCGCCUGCUGAUCCGCUCCCUCCCUGGUCGGCUGUGUCACCACAUCUGGGAUUCCUUCGGAGUUGCAGCGCUUGGACGCUCCUGCUGUCUUGUCUUGCCGGUUUUGUUUGGGCCGCUCUCGACGGAGCCUGCUGGCGGAACGAGCGGGGCACGACUCCUCUGGCCCCGCGUGAAAAGACAUUAGAAGUCGGACAAUGACAAUUUGUCCCAUCGUUUGUAGUGGUUGUGUUCUUUUCUUUGCCGUUUGUUUGCUUAUUAUUUAAAUUACUAAUUUGUUUGCUUUCCU